ACCAUAAUAAUUCCAAAAUCUCUAUAGGUAUGGGAGUCACUGGGAUUUAGCCAUGCAAAGGUAGCAUUUGGCAACGGAGGGACACAGGGGCUUGUGGACCAUGUUGGACUCAACUUAGUAUUUCACUGCUAUCUAAUGUGUUUUUGGCCACGUGUUGUAGCACAUUUUAGUCAAGCAUGGAGAUAUCCUCUUCUGCAAUAUACUGAGUUUUCGGCCAUGUUUUGUGGCAAAGAUUUAGUCAAGCAUGAAGAUAUCAUCUUCUUCAAUCAGGAUAUUAAUUUAACUAUUUACCACUACUACAGCGAUGAGUUUAGUAAUUUGUCACUCAGUAAUCUAUGAUAUAUGGGUCUAGUAUCCACAUGCAC
rnacentral:lncRNA from 1 species